rnacentral:rRNA from 1 species
GAGGCUUGACAUCUGGAGAACUUUCCGGAAACGGAGAGGUGCCCGCAAGGGAGCUUCAAGAC